rnacentral:rRNA from 1 species
AGCGAACGCUGGCGGCAGGCUUAACACAUGCAAGUCGAGCGGGCACUUUCGGGUGUCAGCGGCGGACGGGUGAGUAACGCGUGGGAACGUGCCCUCUGGUUCGGAAUAACUCAGGGAAACUUGAGCUAAUACCGGAUACGCCCUUUUGGGGAAAGGCUUGCUGCCGGAGGAUCGGCCCGCGUCUGAUUAGCUAGUUGGUGAGGUAACGGCUCACCAAGGCGACGAUCAGUAGCUGGUCUGAGAGGAUGAUCAGCCACACUGGGACUGAGACACGGCCCAGACUCCUACGGGAGGCAGCAGUGGGGAAUAUUGGACAAUGGGCGCAAGCCUGAUCCAGCCAUGCCGCAUGAGUGAUGAAGGCCUUAGGGUUGUAAAGCUCUUUUAUCCGGGACGAUAAUGACGGUACCGGAGGAAUAAGCCCCGGCUAACUUCGU